ACGGCGAGUGAAGAGGGAAAAGCCCAAAUUUGUAAUCUGGCUCUUUCAGAGUCCGAGUUGUAAUUUUGAGAGCUGUUUUCUGUGCUGGACCAUUUCUAAGUCUGUUGAAAAACAGCAUCAUGGAGGGUGAGAAUCCCGUAUAUGAUAUGGACUACCAGGGCUAUAUGAUACAGUCUCUAAGAGUCGAGUUGUUUGGGAAUGCAGCUCAAAUUGGGUGGUAAAUUCCAUCUAAGGCUAAAUACAGGUGAGAGACCGAUAGCAAACAAGUACCGUGAGGGAAAGAUGAAAAGAACUUUGGAAAGAGAGUUAACAGUACGUGAAAUUGUUAUAAAAGAAACGAUUGAAGUUAGCCUUGUAUUUGUUAGUUCAGCUCUUUUAGGGUGUAUUCUAAUGAUAUACAGACCAACAUCAGUUUUUGGGUGCUGGAUAAGAGUCUUGGAAAUGUAGCAGCCUUGGCUGUGUUAUAGUCCUGGAUUUUGGAUACAGUGCCUAGGACUGAGGAAUGCAGCAAGC
rnacentral:rRNA from 1 species